UACGUAGGGGGCAAGCGUUGUCCGGAAUCAUUGGGCGUAAAGAGCGUGUAGGCGGCCCGGUAAGUCCGCUGUGAAAGUCCAGGGCUCAACCCUGGGAUGCCGGUGGAUACUGUCGGGCUCGAGUCCGGAAGAGGAGUGUGGAAUUCCUGGUGUAGCGGUGGAAUGCGCAGAUAUCAGGAGGAACACCGGUGGCGAAGGCGGGUCUCUGGGCAGUAACUGACGCUGAGGCGCGAAAGCUAGGGGAGCAAACGGG
rnacentral:rRNA from 1 species